GCAGAGCUGAGCCCGAGGGGAAUCCAGAAGGGACACGCUGAACAGGAACAGAAAUGAAUAAAAGUCGCUGGCAGAGUAGAAGACAUGGGAGAAGAAGCCACCAGCAGAACCCUUGGUUCAGACUCCGUGAUUCUGAAGACAGGUCUGACUCCCGGGCAGCACAGCCCGCUCACGAUUCCGGCCACGGUGAUGACGAGUCUCCGUCGACCUCGUCUGGCACAGCUGGGACCUCCUCUGUGCCAGAGCUACCUGGAUUUUACUUUGACCCUGAAAAGAAACGCUACUUCCGCUUGCUCCCUGGACAUAACAACUGCAACCCCCUGACGAAAGAGAGCAUCCGGCAGAAGGAGAUGGAGAGCAAGAGACUGCGGCUGCUCCAGGAAGAGGACAGACAGAAAAAGGUGGGCUCCUCACCCCUUCGCCCCCUGUCCUCUCCACUCCUGCCAGCACCUGUCCAUCCACUGUUGAAGAGGGUGCCAAUUAGAUGCCCCUGCGACACUUAGCAGAGGCACUUCACGGGGUGUGGCCCCAGCUUUUCCCUGACAGGAAG
rnacentral:sRNA from 1 species